AACGAACGCUGGCGGCAGGCCUAACACAUGCAAGUCGAGCGAGAUCUUCGGGUCUAGCGGCGGACGGGUGAGUAACGCGUGGGAAUAUGCCUCUUGGUACGGAAUAGCCUCGGGAAACUGGGAGUAAUACCGUAUGUGCCCUUUGGGGGAAAGAUUUAUCGCCAAGAGAUUAGCCCGCGUUGGAUUAGGUAGUUGGUGGGGUAAUGGCCUACCAAGCCGACGAUCCAUAGCUGGUUUGAGAGGAUGAUCAGCCACACUGGGACUGAGACACGGCCCAGACUCCUACGGGAGGCAGCAGUGGGGAAUCUUAGACAAUGGGGGCAACCCUGAUCUAGCCAUGCCGCGUGAGAGAUGAAGGCCUUAGGGUUGUAAAGCUCUUUCAGCUGGGAAGAUAAUGACGGUACCAGCAGAAGAAGCCCCGGCUAACUCCGUG
rnacentral:rRNA from 1 species